CAAUGAUUUGCAAAGAUUGUAAAUAUCCUUGUUUUUGUCCUGGAAACCCGAUACGACAUUUACUUGAUUUUCAAACUAAAGGUGAUACUAAAAAUAUUGAAACUUCUAAUAUCGAUACAGUCAACCCAAAUACGAAUGGAAAUUAUUCUUACAUCCAAAGGUUUUCUGACAACAAACUCAAAUCUAAAAAGCCUAGAAAAGUACAAAGACUUCUUCGUUGUUUGAAAUGCAAAUGUUGGUCGAAGAAAAGGAAAACUAGUGUUGAUAGCAAAAUUAAGUCUGAAAAACAAGCAACAGCCCCUCCUACUACUAAAAUUAACAAGAAGAAUAAUACAAAAACACUUAAGGAUUCGAG